rnacentral:misc_RNA from 1 species
GAACGCACCUUGCGCUCCCUGGUAUUCCGGGGAGCACGCCUGUUCGAGUGUCGUGAACACCUCAACCCUCUAAUGUUUUUGCAUUGAAGGCGUUGGUAGUGAGCGCUGCCGGUCUUUGGGUCGGCUCGCUUUAAAAUAAUUAGCUGGAUCCAUUCUGACCUGGUUCUACUCGGCGUAAUAAGUUAUUAUCGUCGAGGACGCCUAGCCUUCUAGGCAGGCGGCCACAGUAAGGGUGUUUGAACCGCUUCCAACACGUCUUGCUCUUGUAGCAAACACUUGAACUUCUGACCUCAAAUCAGGCAGGACUACCCGCUGAACUUAAG